AUGAUCCUGAGAAAAUUGGAGAUGGCGGUGAGAGACAUGGAUGGAGUGAAAACACGGGAGAGACAGAGGAAAAGUGCGACAGAGAGAGAAAGAGAGGUCUUGGUCUUUGAGGGCAGAACCCUGCAGAUAGAUGACUCUUUGGGCCCACAGAGGGACAUGAAGGACCCUCCUAACCUGGACAUCCAUCUCUGCUGGACAAAGGAUCACCACAUAAUGCUGCUCAGGCUCCCGAAAAGGAUUACAGACAACAAAUGCACACAAACACAAGACCCCCCAACACCCUCUUGUCCUACUUAAAACCAUU